rnacentral:lncRNA from 1 species
GGCUUCUGUCCUGACCUGUCUCUUGGCCAUGCAAUAAUCCAUAUGGUAAUCUAAGCAGGGCAGGUUUGGCCCAGGGAGUGGAGGUCUGCACUUGCCAGGACUGCAUGUGUCAGGGCUGGAGUGCAAUGGCAUGAUCUUGGCUCACUGCAACCUCCGCCUCCUGGGUUCAAGCUAUCCUGCUGCCUCAGCCCCUCGAGUAGCUGGAAUUACAGAUACUUUUGCCUUAUUGGAAGAAGUUUCAUAAUAAUUGCUGGCUCUCACCUAUGGCAACUCAGUUAUUUCCUUCAGAUUUUGACCUCAAGAAAUCCCAGGCAAUAUCAUACUGAAUGGGCAAAAACUGGAAGCAUUCACUUUGAAAACUGGCACAAGAAAGACAAGGAUGUCCUCUCUCACCACUCCGAUUCAACAUAGUAUUGGAAGUUCUGGCCAGGGCAAUCAGUUACCUUUACUGGAGUUCUUCAUUUCUGCAUAUAACUUCAACUCUUUGUCC